CCCCUCUCAGGGUCGCACCUGGAGGGUUUCCAGAACUCUACCAGUCUUGGCUACAGGAAGGAGAGUCAAGCAGAGGCCUACCCAUUCAAUUCUUAGCUUAGGUAGUGGCUAGAGAAUGGAAGACAAUCUGCUACAAGU
rnacentral:snoRNA from 2 species